rnacentral:rRNA from 1 species
UACAGAGGUCUCAAGCGUUGUUCGGGAUUCAUUGGGCGUAAAAGGGUGCGUAGGCGGCAUUGCAAGUAGGGUGUGAAAGCCCUCGGCUCAACCGAGGAAUUGCGCUCUAAACUGCAGUGCUCGAGGAACCUAGAGGUGAGCAGAACAGAUGGUGGAGCGGUGAAAUGCGUUGAUAUCAUCAGGAAUACCGGAGGCGAAGGCGGCUCACUGGGGGCUUUUCUGACGCUGAGGAACGAAAGCCAGGGUAGCGAACGGG